UUCCGGUUGAUCCUGCCGGACCCGACUGCUAUCGAAAUGGGACUAAGCCAUGUUAGUCGAACGUCUUUUAACUAUGUGAAGAGCGUGGCGUACGGCUCAGUAACACGUUGUCAAUCUACCCUGAAGACGUGGAUAACCCCGGGAAACUGGGAUUAAACCACGAUAGAUCAAGAUUUCUGGAAUGGAUUUUGAUUCAAAGGAAGGAUGAGCAUGUUCAUCUAUUUGCCUCAGGAUGGGACUGCGACCGAUCAGGUUGUUGGUGGAGUAAUAGCCCACCAAGCCAGUAACCGGUACGGGCUUUGAGAGAAGGAGCCCGGAGAUGGACACUGAGAAAAGGGUCCAGGUCCUACGGGGCGCAGCAGGCGCGAAACCUUCGCAAUGCACGAAAGUGCGACGAGGUUAUUUCGAGUGCUAUCCGCUGAGGAUAGCUUUUGUCAGGUGUAAAUAGCCUGGAGAAUAAGGGGAGGGCAAGUCUGGUGUCAGCCGCCGCGGUAAUACCAGCUCCCCGAGUGGUCGGGACGAUUAUUGGGCCUAAAGCAUCCGCAGCCAGCUUUGCAGGUCUUCUGUUAAAUUCAACGGCUUAACCGUUGAGCUGCAGGAGAUACCACAAGGCUAGGAGGCGGGAGAGGUAGACGGUACUCCAUGGGUAGGGGUAAAAUCCUCUGAUCCAUGGAAGACCACCAGUGGCGAAGGCGGUCUACCAGAACGCGCUCGACGGUGAGGGAUGAAAGCUGGGGGAGCGAACCGGAUUAGAUACCCGGGUAGUCCCAGCCGUAAACGAUGCUAGCUAGGUGACGGAGUGGUUUCGUACCAUUCCGGUGCCGCAGGGAAGCCGUUAAGCUAGCCGCCUGGGGAGUACGGUCGCAAGACUGAAACUUAAAGGAAUUGGCGGGGGAGCAC
rnacentral:rRNA from 1 species